UCUCCGUAGGUGAACCUGCGGAGGGAUCAUUACCAGAGAUAGCGGGCCCCCGCGCCCCCGUCCCCAACCCUUUGUUGACCAAACCACUUUUGCCUCGGGGGCAGAGCGGCCUCCGCCGCCCUCGGUGGACCAUUUAACCCUGUCUCUGUACGUCGGAGUCUUUGAUAAAUGAAUAAAAAACUUUUAACAACGGAUCUCUUGGUUCUG
rnacentral:misc_RNA from 1 species